rnacentral:lncRNA from 1 species
CCUGCCCAGCAGCGCCACUGGACCCUAGGUGAGAAAUCCACCCAGCUAUCCCAAACGUAGGGAGGCUGGGUGAAUUUAAAUGUAAAAAAAAUAUUAAUAAUAAUUGUGAGUGUGGGGAAAUGUGUGUGUCAGUGAAUGUGAGUGAGUGAGUGUGUGUCAGUGAAUGUGAGUGAGUGUGUGUUAGUGAAUGUAAGUGUGUGUGUGUCAGUGAAUGUGAGUGUGUGUGUGUGUCAGUGAAUGUGAGUAUGUGUGUGUCAGUGAAUGUGAGUGUGUGUGUCUGUGAAUUUGAGUGAGUGUGUGUCAGUGAGUGUAUGUGUGUUAGUGAAUGUGAGUGUGUGUCAGUGAAUGUGAGUGUGUGUCUGAAUGUGAGUGUGUGUGUCAGUGAAUGUGAGUGUGUGUCUGUCAGUGAAUGUGUGUGUGUGUGUGUCAGUCAGUGAGUGCGUGCGUCUGUCAGUGAGUGUGUGUCCGAGUAAGUGUAUGUCUGUCUAUCAGUGUGUCAAAUCAAUGAGUGUGUGUAUGUCGUUCUUUGUCAGUGUAUAUGAGAGUGUGUGUCUGUCAAUGAGUGUAUUCAUCUAUCAGUGAGUGUGUGCGUCUGCCAGUCAAAGUGCGGCCUUGACGGGAAGGGGUGGGGAAAAUUUAAAUUGGGUAGGGCGGGGAGGAGGUGGAGCCCGAGCACCGUCCUGCCUAGGGCAGCACAAAUUCUAAAUACACCACUUGUGUGUGUGUGUGUCUGUCUGUCUAUAUGUAUGCCUGUCUGUAUGUGUGUGUGUCUGUCUGUGUCUGCCUGUGUGUGUGUGUUUGUGUCUUUGUAUGUGUGUGUCUGUCUGUGUGCCUGUAGGUGUGUGUGUGUCUGUCUGUAUGUAUGUGUCUGUAUGUGUGCCUGUCUGUUUGUAUGUAUGUGUCUUUGUGUGUCUGUCUGUUUAUAUAUAUAUAUAUAUAUAUAUAUAUGUGUGUGUGUGCCUGUCUGUAUGUAUGUGUUUGUCUGUGUGUAUGUAUCUGUCUGUCUGUAUGUGUCUAUGUGUGUGUGUGUGUCUCUAUGCAUGUAUGUGUGUGUGUGUCUGUCGGGAGUGGUGGGGAGUGUGGGGAAUAGGGAGGGUUGGGCCAACGGAUUGUGUGUACGCCACUGUUGGGGACCUGGCUUGGCAUAUGUUUAAUGGGCAUAUACGCUGACUGUGGCAUGUUCUGUUCGGCAAAGUGACACUGUUCUGUGUCUGCACUUUAUUACUCCCUUUUUUUUAUAUAUACACAAGUACUCCUCACUUAACGACCCGGUUGUAGAACAAAUUGGUCGGUAGGUGAGGAGUUAAGGGAUUCCCUGCUCUUGUGCGUUUGUCUAUGUUCGGGGAAAUUUCCCUGAACAUAGAUGAAUGUAGCAGAGCAUGGAAUCCCUCUAGUCCCCAUGACAGCUCGUACUUACCACCCCACUAAAGAGAGCUGGUCGUAAGUGCGAGCCGUCGUAAAACAGGUUGGUCGCCAAAUGAGGACCACCUGUAUAUUAUACCUUGUGGUGUGCUGGGAAGAGCUUUAGUGUGCCUUGGGUGAGAAAAUGCAGAGGAAUACUGCUAUAAUCCCAUCACACCCAGCCCAAUAACAUUACUCAUCCUAUAAUCUCCUCAUCACUCCCAGGUCCAAUCACUUUACCUCAUCACAAAAUCCCAUCAAUCUGGGUCCCAAUCACAAAACCACAUCCUAUAAUACCAGCAACGCAAAACAAUCCCAAAUUCCUGCAAGAAACAUGAAACACAUUCAUUUAUAGAUAUCUGUUUAAAGGGCCACACAUCCAUAGAGAGCAUUUAAAAGUGAUACACAUUAAUGGUGACACUUCAAUGGUCCUUCAACAUACAUACACAGCGUGCACAGACAGUUUUAAAAUGCCGCCUGGUGGCAAUCUGUGAACCAUCUCCAACAAAUAAAUAAAUAGUUAAAAAAUAUAAAUAAAAUGCAGGAUGAGCACUCCUAAUAUUGUUCCCCUAAUUUUUAUGUUAUUCUGUGUUUGCACUGAGGCUGAAAUCAUUUCCUAUUUUUUUUUUUUUUUGUAAUACAUUUCCUUUUUAUUAAUUAAUUAUACAAACAAAUACAUCAUAUAUAUCAAUACAGCACCAUAUCAAAUAUACAUAAUUGCAUUGCAUUGCUAAUUUCCUAUUUUAAUGUGCCCCUGCCUGGCCGAUGCUAGUACUACCCCAGUGAUACCCCACACCAACCCCAGUCAUACCUGUCCUUCUCCGAUCUCUUCUCUCUGUCUGCAGUCUGUCUCCUGUCUCUGUCGGUUUCUUUUAUAUUUUGCCCCAAACAUUCUCCUCCCACUGCCCCUCUUUUACUUUUUCCCUAAAUCCCUCCCCCUCUCAACUUGUAAGUAUUGUGAAUAAAAUACAGAAUUACAGAAUUCAGGAUUAAAGAGCCAAGCUAGACUGCUAGCUCAGUUAUUUUUUAAGGGUGAGGUCUGGUAUGCCCAUCUCUAAUUACUGCCCCACAACAUACCCAGACUACUCUACAUUCCCUCAGGUACACACUAACAAGAUGCACACUGAGGGCAUCCCUUGGGCACAUACACAGAACAUGAUGCACACUGAGGGCAUCUCCUGGGCACAUACACAGAACAUGAUGCAUACUGAAGGCAUCCCCUGGGCACACACACAGUAACACAAUGCACACUGAGGGCAUCCCCUGGGCACACACAGUAACACGAUGCAUUCUCUGUGUCUACACAAUGACACUAUUUCAAGGCAAGCACACAACGAAUAUCACUUACCGAGUACACAGAGCGAGAACCAAGUAUAUACAGCAGUUACAGCCGAGUACACCAUGGACACAGUGAGAACAAAUUAAGAGAGUAUCCCGUGCACACAAUGAUUACCCAUUAACUCAUUAUGGACUAAUGCCAUUCUCCAUGGCAUGACUUGGCAGCUUGACACAGCUCGGACUUUAUGCACUGGUAUACAUUAUGUAAGUCCAGUACUUCCAGAAGUCAGGAAGAUGUUUUGUGAAAAAGGGAGACAUGGCUUCGGGGGUGGGGUUAUGCUACAGUGAGUACGUUUUUAUUUUUAACCAAAACUACAGAGAUUUAUACGUGUCGAAAAAUACAUUAUUAGGGUUAUUCCCUAAAGUGUGAAUUUAAAGUUUAGUAGAAAACUGGAAGCAGUCCAAAUUUUCCAAAUUGCCUCUUUUGGCCUUAAAUUAGAAAUUUACUUUGAAUUCUCACUUUAGUGAAUAUAGUAUGGCUAUAAGGCCACAGCAUAUCUAAGGCUCUUAAAGGACAACUGUCACCUCAAAACAAUUUAAUAUAUAAUAAUCCUUUCAUAAAGUUUUGCUAAACAAUGCUGAACAGUCACAGCAAGCAUUUGCUCCUCUACAAUCUCAACAUAUAAGCUUCUAAAAUGCUAUUUUAAGCAGAAUAUGUAUUCCUUAUACUAUAGGUUUAAACAGCUGUGUAGUCCAUCAGACCCCCCCUUAUCUCUGCUUAAAAUGGUGAUUUACCUUUUUACAGCGCUGCACGGGUCUGGUCACAGAUGGCCCACCCUUGCUCCACCCCCUUGGCUGAGAUUAUCACACAUAGGAACGCAUUUGGAAGCUUUCAAGCAUGCGCUGCAAAACAUCGGCUGUGCCAAUCAGCAUCUUCUCAUAGAAAUGCAUUGACCCAGUGUAUUUCUAUGGGGCACGUUCAGCGUCUCCAUGCAGAGCUUGGAGACGCUGAACGUAAUUUCUGCACUUUGUGCACCACUGACCCAGGAAGCACCUCUAGUGGCCGUCUCUGAAAAGGCAGUGUUUACAUUAAAAAGCCUGCAGGGACUGACUAUACUCACCAGAAGAAAAAAACAUUAAGCUGUUGUUGUUCUGGUGAUUAUAGUGUCCCUUUAAGCUUCUCUAUACCAGUGUCACUGCUCAUCGGGCAACCGAGUUGCAAGCUGAAGUUCCUCUGUCUGGACCGUUGGGGCUAAUCCUGGUCCCCACCAAGAAAGAUCUUUCUUACCUACUCUUGGGCAUACUCAAACACGCCAGCUCCCACACAUACAAAAUGGCUGAUUCCUAUGUCUCUGUUAAGCUCCCAGAGAAGUAGAAUAGACAGCAGUGUGACAAAAGCUUUUGUGAGAUAUUUGAUGCCUGCAUGCAAUUCUGGAAGAUUGAAUCAACCCAGUCCAAUUGUUGCAGUUUGUGCCAAACUACUACUCAACAGCGGGCCUUGGUUCCGUAACCCCUUCCUGGGCAAGGAGCCACAAGGGAGUUUCCAUCCAAACACUGUCCACAUACCUGGGAGAUCCACCAUUGUCCAGGAGUUUCUCAGAACCAUGCCCUGGUUAUAGGGUGCGUGGCUCAUCGACAUAAGGUGCUGGCUCCUAAUAAAGCCAAGGGCUGGAACAUAGCUGCUCACGAGCAAUAUGGAAGGUACCUGGAGGAGGGCUCCUACUAUACCCCGCAUCUAUCUGGGAACUAUUAGACACUUUCUUCAAGCACAGGAAUAUGGUGAAUAGGCUGACUCUGCACGGACUCAUAACUAGGAUGGGCUGUCUGGCUAUGGCUCUCUACCAAUAUCCAACUAAACAGUUAAUUUUCAUUACUUUCUUUACUGUUAUUUACUUAUAUCUUAGUUUAUUUGCAGAUGGGCAAAUCGCAGUAUAUAUUUGCAGCCCAGCACUCUAUCUACUUGGUGGGUCUAUCACUCUAAUACCUAGCUUAAUAGAACGCAAAUCUUGUUAUUGUACUAAAACAGCAAAAUUAGGUAUCACUUAUGUUUCUGUUUUAUGAGAAGUUACAUAUGUUACUACUGGUAACACCUUCGUUUCUGUAUUCUGUACAAAUACUUCAAUAAAAAAGUAAAUGACAGAAAAAUGAUGUAUGUAUAAAAAUAUUUUUUAGAAAAACUCACCCUUUAGUAAUUGCUGCUCCAACCUACUUUUCCUCCCUAAUACACAUAUGUGUCACACCUUGACCCCUGCACUCUGCCCAGACCGUCGCCUGUCCUUUGCUCGUACACCUCUGAUGCUCGUCUUCAAGACUUCUCCAGGGCUCCACCGUUCCUGUGGAACUCCUUUCCUUUCUCCGUUAGACUUUCACCCAGUCUCCAUUCCAUUAAUUAGACUGUUAACAGCUUUCCCUCCCUGCACCGUCUCCUCUCCUGCAACUGUCAAAUAUAAUCUGCUAAACCCUCAGUGAUUACUUUUCUAGCAACCUACAUUUCUACCCCUACCUUUACCCUUUGUGUCAUUAUACCCCACUCCCUCUAGCAUGUAAGCUCAUUGAGCAGGGCCGUCAACCCCUCUGUCCCUGUGCGUCCAACUUGUCCGGUUACAACUAAAUGUCUCUUAGUCCACCCAUUGUGCAGCGCUACGGAAUUUGCUGCUGCUUUAUAAAUAAUAAUAAUAUGACAGGAUCCGUCUGCAAUAUAUAUACCUGUGAACUGACAGUUAGUCUCUAUAGUCUUCUCUGCUUCUGUCAGUUUUCUUUUUUAUAUGAAAAAAUAGUUUUGAGAUGACAGUUGCCUCUUAAGUUGUUUUGGCUAUUUACUUUUAUCGCUUUUAAAGUGGUAAUAAUUGCAGUCAUUGGAGAGAAUCCCGAAAGGGUUGACAUUAACCAAUUUAAAAAAAAUUCUGCAAUAAAUUAUAAUGUGUUCUGUUAUUUAUAUAGUAAAAUGUAAGUGUUCAUAACACUUUGCAUAUAGUCUCAAUUCAAUGCAUCUCUAAUUUCAUAUGUAUGUUGUUGUUGUUCAAAUAUCUUCUGAUGUAUUGUAAAUAUACUUAUGGUAAAAUGUCCUAUGUUUGGAGCUGCUGAACAUCCAAUCCUUUUAGAUAACUAAGUACAAAUAUCGCUGCCACAUACAAGAUGGCUGAUUCCUGUGUCUCUGCUAAGCUCCCAGAGAAGUAGAAUAGACAGCAGUGUGACAAAAGCUUUUGUGAGGCAUCUGAUGCCUGCAUGCAAUUCUGGAAGAUUGAAUCAACUUAGUCCAACUGUUGCAGUUUGUGCCAAACUGCUACUCAACAGCGGGCCUCGGUUCCGUAACCCCUUCCUGGGCAAGGAGCCACAAGGGAGUUUCCAUCGGAACACAGUCCAUAUACCUGGCAGAUCCACCAUUGUCCAGUAGUUUUUUAGAGCUAUGCCCUGGUUACAGGGUGCAUGGUUCAUCGACAUAAGGUGCUGGCUCCUAUUAAAGCCAAGGGCUGGAACUGUCCCACUGUCUGCAAAACUUAGUUAAAUGAACUCUCUAUAUAUAUUAGGUAUACAAAACAGUAUUCUUGACAUUAUAGUGUUCCUGCCUCUAGUCAGAAAUAGAUCAUCUUCAGUUCAUAAUAAUAAAAAAAAAAAUAAUAAUAAUAAAGCUUUACUUACCUCUUUGCCUCCUGUGACAUCACGGAGGAGACAUGGCAUUGGGGACAUAACGCGCAUGUGUGUGGGGAGUGCUCCACUUACAUUCAAACUUCUCCAUAGGAAAACAUUGAUUCAGUUGCAUUUCUACAGGGGCUUCGGCAUCACGAGUCAUACUGACUGCCACUAGAGGUAGGCUUAACCCUGCAAUGUAAGUAUUGCAGUUUUUAAAUAAAGGACAUGGGCCCUGCACCCAGAUCACGUCACUGAGUUGAAGUGGUCUACGUGACUAUAGCGUAUCUUUAAGUUUAUAGAUUCAUUCAUUUAUAAGAGAAGCCUCUGUGUUUUGUAAUGUGGGUUUAGCACUUUGAGAGAAAAGCAAGAUUUAAAAAAAAAAAAAAAGUGUGUACAGUUGGUUCGAAAGGAAUGUGUGAAGCGUACGUAAGGCCCCAAUUUAAUUUUUAACACAUAAAUAUUUCAUGAAUGAGGGGGUUGACCUGACACACUUUUCAUGGUUCAUUUGAAGAUCCAUCCAUCCAUCACAGUUGUGCCACACAUGAAAAAAGAAAACAACUUGACUCCAAAAGUGUGGUCAAAUGUCUCCUUGGAUAAUUACGCCGAUAGAAAACUUUUACAGCCUUUAAUAUUCUGCUUUCCAAAACAGCAUCCGAACCUGUUUAAACCAUCACUUAGCUGGCAAGCACAGAGAGAGAUGUAAGACCUGUACAAUUCAACCCAAAAGGCUCUUUUUCUGCAAUAUUAAAACUCUGUUUCUAGGCACCAUUUAUAUAUAAAAGCAAGUGGGAAAAGCAAGUCUUAUGGCUUGACUGGUGAGCAGAUUUUUGUUUAACAUUGUAUUAACUAUCCACAGACUUCAGGUGGAAGGGGUUUUCAAUCACAAUUUUUCCCCACCAUAACCUUUUUGGUUUUUGCUUCCCAAGCACUACCAAGCCUCAAUAAGCAAGCCAGUAACCAACCUCAAGCUGAAGAGUUGCAUUAACAACGAAACAGCUGUCAGCUAUAUCAAGAGAUGCCACGGUGGGCUUGCUUCAGGCCUACCUUGAGUCGCAUGGAGCCAGCUCCCGCAACUGCUUCUUAGUGACCUGCAUGUAUGGAGUUCCUUUUUGGGAAACUAUAAUGGUCACUUGUGUUGGUUCUGGGAAGCGACGUCCAACUUGAAGUUAGAUCUUUUCACGAAUAUGUCAGGUUCUGUUGUGUUUGGUGCAUAUUUUCAGGGCCAGUGGAGUGUUGAAGAGUGGCCAGCCAGCUGGCGGAAUACGGAGCUAAUACGAAAUCUUAUGUUCUUGGAGUUGUUUCAAAUUGUAGUUUUGGGGUGAUGAACUUUUGAAAUCAUACUGUUGUUUUGCACAUGGACAACAUGAGCAUUGUUCAUUUGAUCAGACAGUCUUCUUUGGCUUUCCCUCCGGUUUUGGUGUUGCUGUGGCGGUUGGUUUUGUUGAGUUUGCAGUUUAAUGUAUAGAUCAAAGCUUGUCAUGUUCCUGGCUUCUUAAAUGUGGUGGCUGACUUUCUUUCUCGGUUUCAGUGGGCCCAUUUUCGGGAGUCGGUUUGAGGUGACAUUAUUGUUUUUAUCGGAUGUGAGGUGGUCCAAAUUAUCUGUGGAUAGUUUGGUUUGCUGUUCAAAGACAGACCGGUUAGGAAAAGGUUUGAGGGUCUACCGGGGCUAGGUUUUGUCCUGUUCAGAUGUUUUUUUUUUUUUAUUUGACAAAUUUUUAUUUUUCAUUGUCGGUAAAUAUAGACAUAGGUAAAAUAGGGAUACAGAAGAAAAGGAGGGAAUAGGAACAUUUAACAUCAUAUUUGUCUGACCCCAAAUUAACAAUGUACAUCGCCAGAUCUAGUUAUGCAGGCAUCAAGUACAAUUAAACAGUUUAACAUUGUAUUCAUAUAUGUUAAUUCAGUUCCUGCUUACUGAAGGUAUCGUGUGUACCAUUUUAAUUACAAUGUACAUGCGUAGUAAUGGUGGUGCCAGCGACAUGUCACGGUAAGUCUGUUCUUUCCAAUAGGGGGGCUUGGAGUGCUAGUUAUGUGAAAAAAGGGGAAAAAAACUGUUUGGGGGGGUGGAGGAAAAAACAAGGGGGAAAGAGGAAUUUGGUUAGUUUGGUCGCAGAAUUUGUGAUCGAUUUUGUCUAGAUUGUGAUGCACUUAGGUUUGAUUAUGAGGUUGUGGGAAUGCUUGUAUGAUGCUUAGUCUUCAACUCCCAUUUAUUCCAUGCCAGAGCCCAGAAGUUUUUCUUUGUUUGCGCUUUCCUUGCUGCUGUUUCAUACCGUUUGGUAGUUUCUACCACCUCUAUACAUGUUUGUAUACAGGGGGGUGUAUCAUUCAGCCAGUUCCUACUUAUGGCUGUUAAGGCAAUAAUAAUAUGGUAUGCCAGAUAUUCGUUCGGUUUCUGUAGUGUUUUGGGCCAUAUGAGUAACAGAUAAGAUAGUGGAGUGUGCGGUAACUUUACGCCUGUGGUGUCCUCUAUGAGGCUUGAGACGUCUAACCAGAGUUUUGUCAGUUUCAUGCAUCCCCACCAGAUAUGGGUCAUAGACCCAGGCUCCACGCCACAUCGCCAGCAUACAUCUGGUUUGGUAGAAUCUAUCCUAUGCAGCUUUGAGGGCACCAUAUACCACCGAUAUAGGAGCUUCCUGCUUAUUUCUAUGUGUGCUGUGUUUAAUGUGAGCGUUUUAUGUGCUCUCUGUGUCUGAAGCCAUUCUUCAGGCGUCAGUGUGUGGUCCAGUUCCCUUUCCCAUGUUUUAAUAAAGUUGAGUUUUUCUGUGGUUGUGCUGUGUUCAAGCAAUCUAUAUAGAGUGGACAGUAGUCGUGGUGGUGGUUUGCCCGCCAUACAUAAGAUUUCUAUCUCGUUAAGUACAUAGCCCCGUGUCUGGGAGUUGUCAUAGUGUUUGGUUACCAAUGAUUUCAAUUGUAGGUACGAGAAGAAGAGUGUGGAGGGUAGAUUGUAUUUGUUACAUAGCGAAUCAUAAUCGCUUGUAUGUCCGUUUGUUAGUAUCUGUGAUAUGUAGGACACUCCAAGGGAGUUCCAGGUUUUAUAGUCAAAUCCUGGGAUCAAAACAUUUAGUGCCCGGAGUUGAAGGUUUUGGGAGAAUUGCGCCUUUUUGUUUUGUUUUUUGACCAGAUUGUCCCAUAUUUUGAGUGUAGCUAUUGUGGUUGGGCAUAUGUUUUUAUAGUGUGGCCUUUUGUCCACAGGUAUCCAGGCUAGGGCGUGUAGCGGCAUUCCCUCGGUGUAUGCCGCUUCUAUUUAGUUCCAUGCAAGUGGCGUUUUGUGGUGGUGUAUGUUUACAAGUGUGCUUAUCAUAGCUGCCUCAUAGUAUCUUGAGAUGUUUGGGACCCCCAUUCCGCCAAGUCUGAAGGGUUUGUAUAGAAUCUCUGCUGCUGUUCUGGCUUUUUUCCCACCCCAUAUAAAUUUAUUUAGAGAGCGCUGGGCGUCCAUGAGAAAUAGUUUUGGGAGAGCUAUCUGUAGGGUUCUGAAAAGGUAUUGUAGACGUGGCAAUACCAUCAUUUUUGCCGCUGUGAUUCUGCCCAUCCACGACACGUAUUUCCCCUUCCAGCCCUGUAUUUGAUUUUUUAUCUCCCGGAGCAGCUUCUCAUAGUUGGCCUGGUACAGUUUACGCGUGGUUGGCGUGAGUGAUAUGCCUAGAAAAGUGAGGUGGUCGCGUCUCCAGUCAUAUGUGUAUUUACUCUGUAAAUUUUGGAGCCUUGGGAUUUGUAUGUUGAAGCUCAUGGCCUGGGUCUUAGUGACAUUUAGUUUGUAGUAUGAGCAAUUGCUAAAUUGUUGUAUUACUGUCUGUAAUGUUGGUAGUGAUAUCUCAGGUUUGGUUAGGGUCAGCAUCACAUCAUCAGCAAACAGCGUGAUUUUGUGCGUUACAUUGCCAAUUGUUAUCCCGUGUAUGUUUUGGUUUUCUCUGAUGUGUUGAGCUAGUGGUUCCAGAGCUAGAAUAUAUAACAGGGGUAACAGUGGACAUCCCUGUCGGGAUCCGUUCGAUAUUCGGAAUUGUCUGGAAGCGAAGCCUCCAUUUAUCACCUUCGCAGUUGGUUCGUUGUAUAAGGCCGAGACUAAUGUGAGAAAGCGUUGUGGGAAGUGAUAUUUCUGAAGUACGGCUUCAAGGUAUCCCCAGUGCAGCCUGUCAAAUGCUUUCUCAGCAUCUAGUGACAGGACUACGCUAGGUUCCCGGGUUUGUUGGAUGGUGUGGAUGAGGUCAAUUAGUUUUCUGGUGCCGUCGGAGCCCUGUCUGCCCCUGACGAAUCCCACCUGAUCGUUUUUUAUUAGAAAUGGUAAAAAAUUCCCCAAUCUAGUUGCAUAUAUUUUUGCCAUUAUUUUUAGGUCUGUGUUCAAUAAUGAAAUUGGGCGUAAGUUUUGGCAUUUGUGUGGUGGCUUACCAGGUUUGGGUAGUGUUGUUAUAUGUGCAAUCAACAUCUCUUGGGGAGGGAUUCCAGUGGAUAGGAUAUGAUUGUAUAAGUUCACUAGGUGAGGUGCCAGCGUGUGGGAAAAAGUCUUAUAAUAUAGGUUCGUAAACCCAUCUGGACCUGGGGAUUUCCCUUUAGGGAGCAUUUUUAUCGUCUGUUGUAUUUCACUAAGUGUGAUGGGUUUUUCCAGUUCUAGUUUGUUAUGCAAUGUUAGGUUAGUUAGCUGUACUUCCCUUAAGAAGUCCGCUAUGUUAGAUGUGAGAGGCUGGUGUGUGUUGCCGUCGUUUUUUAGAUUAUAUAACCCUUCGUAAUAGUCCGCCAUCAUAUUAUUUAUGUCCUGUGGGUUAUAGAUUUUGUUUCCCUGCUCGUUGAAGAGGAAGGGUAUUUUGGCAUUCAGUUGUUUCUGUCGGAGUGUUGAUGCCAGUGCCAUCCCUGCCUUAUUUCCUUGUGUAUAUGAGAUGAGUUUUAGUCUAUGCAUGAUGUUCAUUGUCUUUAGUAUAUGUGUGUCAUUGAUUUGUUUCUGUAUGUGUUGUAUGUGUUGUUGUCUGUCCGGUGAUGGCUGUGAGAUUUGGGCUCUAGUUUCAUCUCUAAGGGAUCUAAGUAGGUGUACGUACUCUUGAUUUGACUUGCGCUUGAGAUAGGAUGCUCUACUUAUGAGAUGUCCACGUAUAACUGCCUUAUGAGCUUGCCACACAGUGGCAGGUGAGAUAUCAGGAGUGUUGUUUUGUGAAAAGUAUGAUAUUAUUUCUGAGUUUAGCUUGUGGCUAAAUUCCGGAUUUUGUAAAAGAGUGUCAUUUAAACGCCAGGGUGUUGUUCCUCGGAAAGCAAAAUUAUCUUUGAUUGUUAGCCCGACAGCAGCGUGGUCCGACCAGGUUAUAUCGCCUAUAUCGCUAUGGGUUGCGUGUGGUAGUAAGUCACCAGUGAUUAGUAUGUAGUCAAUCCUAGAGUAUGUAUGAUGGACAGACGAGUAGAAUGUGAAUUCCCGGUCAGCUGGGUGUUGGGUCCUCCAGAUGUCAUAGAGUCCAUACUCUGUUGUCUGUUUACAUAUGUUUUUAUAUCUAGGUGAUGUAUGUGGUAAGGUGGUGUCUAAUUUGGGCUGUAGUACGUGGUUGACGUCUCCGCAUAUAAUUUGGCGAAUGUGGGUCAUAUUCGGCAGUUUCGCUAAUAUCUUGUGGAGAAAAUUUUUCUGAUUAUCGUUUGGCCCGUAAAAACUCGCUAUGAGAUAUUGUAUGUUGUUUAUGUUGCAAUGCAGUAUGAUAUACCUGCCCUGUGUAUCUCUUUUUAGUUGUAGGAGUUCAAAUGUUAGAGAUUUAUAGAUGAGUAUGGAGACUCCCCUAGAUUUGGAGGAGUAUGUUGAAUGAUAUUGUGUUGGGUAAUCCCUGUAGGCGAAUGUAGGGACUCUGUUGUGUACAAAGUGCGUCUCUUGCACACAGAGUAUAUCCGUUUUGUACUUUUGUGCUUCUUCCAGCAGUAGUCUGCGUUUAUGCGUUGUAUUUAACCCGCGGGUGUUAAUUGAUUGUACCUUCAUCUACUAAGUACGGAUGUGGGAUGAUUGCUAGGCAUUGAAGCAUGCGAUUUACUGGUUUAUUGUUUAUGGCAGGAUGUGGUGUCAUGAGAAUUUGCGCUAGUGAGGUAAAGAUUGUGUGAUAUUGCAAUGUUAUAAUAUGGAGUCCCAUUUUUCGUUGCAUGUUAUAUCUUGUGCGUGCGCUAUCUAGUGCUGCGUUGGCAUAGAUGUGUCUUAUGUUUUUGGUUGAUCUAAUAGGGGUAUUGACAAGGGGUUUAAAACUUGGUGGGGGAGGGAUAACUAUGUACAUUAUGUCUCUUUGCGAGACAAGGUGUGGAAUUGCCACACCAUGGGGGUUGGAGUUGGUUUUUAUCUCCAUCAACAUGGUCCAUGGGCUGUGUUUAGAAGUCACUGCAUGAUGCGCUAUGUGUGGUUUGGUCAUAUAUAGCUGAGUAGUACAAUUAUGGAGUCGGGUCUCUACCCACAUGUGCCUUUCACUGUGAGCCCCCGCAGGGUAUCCACGUUCGGGGCAGAGAGCGGUCGCAUCAGGUUUGUCGCCCACCGGCCCUAUGAGGGCGCCUCUACUCUUUGGGCAUACUUAUCGUCAGUUUGGGAGUCACGGAAGUUGUCGUCCUGUUGUAGACCGCUGUGUGUGUAGCUGAGUCAUAGCUAGUCAGUGUGUUACGGCGUCCCUAUACUCGCCGUUCGGGAAGGGGUCAGUCAGAGGGGACGUUCCUCACUAGUAGUGAGUCCACGUUAGGUCAUGUCAAUGUCUAUAGAGAGUGUAUCUCUACCUUAAAACCUAAACAUUUUCAUAUCAAAUGGCAUGUUACAUUACAUCUCCCCAGUUCCUCCCCCCCCCUCCUGGUUAAUUCACAUUACUACUUUGAAAAAUCUAAAUAUGAAAAUGAAGCCCAGUUUAAGAGAAAAAGUAAGGGAGAAUCAGAAAUAAAUCCAAGUCUCUCAAUCUGUAUGUCUCUGUGGGUCCCCAUGUAACCCGUCACGGUGCCCGGACCUCCAUGUGGGGGUGCCUGAAGUAGUGUUAUUUGCUUACCCAAGAUGGUCCCCCAUCAGAGGCGCAGCCCCGGACCCGGGUCCCCCGCAUCGGUUCCGCUGCUCUGCAUUGCUUCGUCACAGGGGAUGUUGGGAGCUCCGGAUCCAAGGGUCCACCAGACCCGCACAGAAGCCGUUCCCAGCCAGAGGUGCAGCCCCAGACCCGGCCCUCCCGCACCGGCAACCCUGCUCUGCACCGCUUCGUCGCAGGGGGGUGGCGGAAGUCCCGGAUCCGGCGGCCCGCAACACUCAGCGGGCUCGACUAGUCCUGGACCCGGCCAAAGCAGGUUCGUGGUUAUGUUAAGGAGAGUAUUUCUUUAUAGGUCGCAUUCGUUAUGGGUGUGAGUUACAUAGAGUAGUACGUCCAAUUUUGCCGGUAGACCAGGGAUCGUCCUGGAUUAAUGUUUCUUUUGGUUCAUUGUCCAUUCGGUUUUAAGUUUCCUGUUUGUCUUUGGUAUGUUCUGGGGGUCAGGUGUUAGUUGUAUGUCCCAGCCUUGUAAUUUCUGUUCGCCAUCUUCUGGUGUUUGUAUCACUGUUGUUUUACCUUCUUUUGUUAUGAUGAGUUUAGUGGGGAAACCCCACUUAUAGUGAAUGCCCUGUGCUCUCAGUGCUCCUGUUAUCUGGGAAAACUCCUUCCUUCUCCGGAGUGUGGCUGCAGAGAGAUCCGCGUAUAUCCGAACCGCGGCAUAUUCCUCCGGCGGCCUGGCUCGUGUUUUGCAGCUUCUGAGUAUAUGCUCUUUAACAUGGAAAUAGUGAGCUCUCAGUAAUAUAUCUCUUGGGACCGUAGGGGGGAGAUGGCGCGGUUUUGGGAUGCGGUGCAUCCUAUCUAUCAACAGCAUAUCCGUCGGUAUCUCGGGUGCAUGGGCUUUCAAGCAGCCUCUAAUGUAGGAAGGCAAGUUAUCGUUGGUGAUUUCUUUAGGGAUUCCCCUUAGUCGGAGGUUGUUCCGGUGGGAACGGUCCUCUAUAUCCGUUAGUUUUUCUUCCAUGUUCUUUAGUUGUGUGGAUAGUUGUUCCACAUUGGUGGCUAAGUCAUUGUGCGCUGUAGCAAAGUCGUCAUAUGUAUCCUCCAUGUUUGUUGUCCUCCUCCCCAGUUCCUGGAUAUCUUUUUUCAAAGAAUCUGCGGUAUGUUGCCAUGUGGUUAUCAGCUUGUUUGAUAGUAUCUCCAGAGCAGCUGAAAGAUCUGCCUUUGUGAUUUGUGUGUCGUUUGUUUGCGUGCUGGGUCUUGAGCACUGUUUGCCGUCGUCGGAUUCCGGGUCCUCGGUGUCAAUUGAGGCCUGUUCCGCCGGAGCUGCAGACGUCGUUUUCUGACUGAAAAAAUUAAGUUUUUCGGGUUUCGCUGAACCCCUUUUGUUUUUAUGUUGUGACAUCCUUGUUGAGGGUCGCUGGAUGCAGUUUCUGCUAUUAGGAUUAUCGCGGAUUAGGUGUCCAUAUGGCAGAGCAGAUUUCUAUGCGGCCAUCUUGCUCCGCGUAGGCCACGCCCUCCCGUUCAGAUGUUUAAUAAGCAUUUGGGUCUUCAGUCGGGAUUCCCUUCUAGCUCAUCGGUCUUCUCUUACGCCUUAUCAAUUUUCUGCUAUGUUGGGAGGUUCAUUGGUAGCAUGUGGUGUGGAUUCUUGGGAUUACUCGGCGUACUCUUUUUGUAUUAGGACUACCACACAGUCUAGUUUGCUAAAUUAUAUGUCCCUUUAUUACUCCUAUCUCCUCGAUGCUGAAUAUUUAUCAUACCUUUUCGCUACUGAACAAUCAGACCGUUCCAUUAUCCGCGAUUUAGACGACGCAUAGUACGAUUCACGACACUGUGGUUGAUCAGGAGCCUUUGAUAUGCCGCUUUCUGCGCUGUAUCAAACUGUCCAGAACCAUGUGUCAAAGUAUCACUGUUGUGGGACUUUGAUUUAUUUCUUUUGGAACUAGUCAGAAAACACGGACCUAUCCCUCCUUCAGCCAUAGUCACGUUACUUUUCGGUCUUUUCGUCGGGUAUCAGAUGUACUGGAGUUUGACGUAGACGGUCUUUUCGGUAUCACCGGAAGGAAUGAUUUCUACGGUGUCUCAUAGAACUAAAUGUUAUCCGCGUCCGUAUCUUACCCUGUUCCCGGUGGUUUCCCAGUCUUUGUGCAGUUAAAGCGGUACUUCGUUACAUGGAGAUCACGACAACACUUAGAUUGUCACAUUCAGGACAUCUGCUGGUCUUAUACCAACCAUACAAGCCAGUUACCAUGAACACUCUGUCUAGAUGGGUUCAUUGGUUGUUAUCGCUAGCAGGGGUGGUGACGUGUUUUGGGUACUCAUUCGGUACAAGGCGCGGCUGCUUCUCAGGCCUUCACGGGGGGCCUCUAUAUUUUACAGCGACGAAUUGGACACGGAUAGACUUCUUCCGUAUAUUUAUUUUCGUCAACCACACACGCAUCCUUCUCGCUCAUACCACAGCUUUAAAAAUGCAAAAUAUAAAGCCUGUCAUGUGAUAAUAUUGUGGAUUAUGCUAACAUAGUGUACCUAUAAUCUUCAUUUUAAUAAUGACAGGAGGUAAAUAUUUUCCCUCCCUGUUUCCCUCCCUAUACUCUGGAAAAUUCUAAUAUUCUGGUUUGUCAUUUUCUCAGUGUAAUAAUAAGGUUUUGGUAUUUCAGUAUAUUUAUGGGAUGCUUAUCUGGUUGGCAUGUGUUAGAUCCGUGUUGAUUACUAAGUAUACUAUGGUUGUUUAAUGGUUCAGUAUAUUAACUUAAUGUAAAUCUAGUGUGAUCUUUGUCUGCAGGUAGCACAGUCCUCUAGGGCAAAAACAUGCACAGUCUUUCAAUGCAACUUCAUUCCAGGCACUUUAUUUGUAAGUUUACAUGUGAGGCAGCAGCAAAUGAAAACAUAAAUAUAACAGGUUUCCCAUUAAACAAAAACCUAGCUCGUCUGAGCACUGACUCACUUUGUAUAUCCCUCUCUAUCAGGGUUAAACUAACAAAAACAUAUUGCACCAACCUUAUUAGAUAGCAACACUCUGCUAGCUAGCCUGUUGCUUUCCUUUCUGCACUCCUAGUGCUCCAAGCCAGCCUUGACUGCUUCCUCCUGCACUCCCAGUGCUCCAAGCCAGCCUUGACUGCUUCCUUUCUGCACUCCCAGUGCCUAGUCUCCUUGACUCUCUAUCUGGAGAGAACAGCCUCUCUCCUACCUGCUUCCUGGGAGGAAGCCAGCAAUCCCUCUCCUUUUCCUGCCUAGCCGGGAGGGGUUUAUUCCCACUGCAACAGCUCAUUAACUGCAGCUGAGCAGUGGGUUGGAGACGGUCCAAAAAACCCUGGCCUGGAUCUAUGUCUCCCCAGAAAACCACUAAACUGUGGAGUGGAGCAUUGGCCCACCCUUCUCUCCAAAUGCUCCACCCCAGGGGCCCAUAACUAAACAAUGCUUUGUGUUGUGCAACACACAAACUACACGUACUUCCCCUUGGGUUAAAAGGCCUAUCUGCCUUCACUUUAUCACAAUAGAUACGUAUAGUACUGGAUUUAAUGUGGGCAACAGUUGGUUUCCAUCACCUUUCACGUAUUUCUGUUCUUUUCAGUGUAAUCAUCAUAGAUGGAUUCGACAAGAUAAAGCUGGAAGGUUUCAAGUUUUGUUUCCAGUUAUGUUCUACACGUUACUCAGGACUGUUAUUUGAAUUCCCUGACGUUAUAAUAGACUGUUUCCUCAUCAAAGAAAGAGCAAGUCAUGUGUCUGUCAGGGCUUUAUAUAUGGAUGUGAUGCCUGUUACUGAUUGGUUUAAAGUUUUUUCUGAUUGACUUGUGCUGCUG